rnacentral:rRNA from 1 species
GAGUUUGAUCAUGGCUCAGAUUGAACGCUGGCGGCAGGCCUAACACAUGCAAGUCGAGCGGCAGCGACAUAGACAAUCCUUCGGGUGCGCUUAUGGGCGGCGAGCGGCGGACGGGUGAGUAAUGCCUGGGAAUAUGCCCUGAUGUGGGGGAUAACCAUUGGAAACGAUGGCUAAUACCGCAUAAUCUCUUCGGAGCAAAGAGGGGGACCUUCGGGCCUCUCGCGUCAGGGUUAGUCCCAGGUGAGAUUAGCU